rnacentral:rRNA from 1 species
AUUUUCCGCAAUGGACGAAAGUCUGACGGAGCAACGCUGCGUGAGUGAUGAAGGUUUUCGGAUCGUAAAACUCUGUUGUUAGGGAAGAACAAGUAUCGGAGUCACUACCGGUACCUGUACGGUAUUUGACGAGAAAGCCACGGCUAACUAGCUGUCAGCAGCCGCGGUAAUCCGUAGGGGGCAAGCGUUGUCCGGAUUUAUUGGGCGUAAAGCGCGCGCGGGCGGUCUUUUAAGUCUGAUGUGAAAUCUUACAGCUUAACUGUAAGCGGUCAUUGGAAACUGGGAGACGUGAGUGCAGAAGAGGAGAGUGGAAUUCCAUGUGUAGCGGUGAAAUGCGUAGAGAUAUGGAGGAACACCAGUGGCGAAGGCGACUCUCUGGUCUGUAACUGACGCUGAGGCGCGAAAGCGUGGGGAUCAAACA